rnacentral:rRNA from 1 species
AGAUUGAACGCUGGCGGCAUGGCUAAGACAUGCAAGUCGAACGCGAAAGGGGGCAACCCCGAGUAGAGUGGCGAAAGGGCGAGGAAUACAUUUCUACGUACCUCAAGGUCGAGGAUAAUCAGGGGAAACUCUGACUAAUACUCGAUGACAUGGGUAACCAUCAAAGGCUUGCUGCCUUGAGAGCGGGGAAUGUCCUAUCAGGUAGUUGGUGAGGUAAUGGCUCACCAAGCCGAAGACGGGUAGCGGGUGUGAGAGCACGGCCCGCCGCAUCGGGACUGAGACACUGCCCGGACUCCUACGGGAGCUGCAGUAACGAAUCUUCCGCAAUGCGACGAAAGCGUGACGGGGCAAUGCCGCGUGCAGGAUGAACGCCCCGUUACGGGGG